rnacentral:rRNA from 1 species
UACGUAGGGGGCAAGCGUUGUCCGGAAUCAUUGGGCGUAAAGCGCGUGUAGGCGGUUCGGUAAGUUUGCUGUGAAAGUCCAGGGCUCAACCCUGGAAAGCCGGUGGAUACUGUCGGGCUAGAGUCCGGAAGAGGCGAGUGGAAUUCCUGGUGUAGCGGUGGAAUGCGCAGAUAUCAGGAGGAGCACCGAUGGCGAAGGCAGCUCGCUGGGACGGUACUGACGCUGAGGCGCGAAAGCGUGGGGAGCGAACAGG